GAUGAACGCUGGCGGCGUGCCUAACACAUGCAAGUCGAACGAACAGACGAGGAGCUUGCUCCUCUGACGUUAGCGGCGGACGGGUGAGUAACACGUGGAUAACAUCCCUUUAAGACUGGGCUAAUUUCGGGAGACCGGAGCUAAUACCGCGUAAUAUAUUCAACCGCAUAUUUCAAUAGUGCAUGUCGGUUUUGCCGACACUUAUAGAUUGAUCCAGGCCGCAUUAGCUAGUUGGUGAGGUGACGGCUUACCAAGGCAACGGUGCGUAGCCGGCCUGAGAGGGUGAUCGGCCACACUGGAACUGAGACACGGUCCAGACUCCUACGGGAGGCAGCAGUCGGGAAUCUUACGCAAUGGGCGAAAGCCUGACGGUGCAACACCGCGUGAGUGAUGAAGGUCUUCGGCUCGGAAAGCUCUGUUAUUAGGGAAGAACAAAUGUGUAAGUAAAUAUGAACGUCUUGACGGUACCUAAUCAGAAAGCCCCGGCUAACUACGUG
rnacentral:rRNA from 1 species